UAGGGAAUCUUCGGCAAUGGACGGAAGUCUGACCGAGCAACGCCGCGUGAGUGAAGAAGGUUUUCGGAUCGUAAAGCUCUGUUGUAAGAGAAGAACGAGUGUGAGAGUGGAAAGUUCACACUGUGACGGUAUCUUACCAGAAAGGGACGGCUAACUACGUGCCAGCAGCCGCGGUAAUACGUAGGUCCCGAGCGUUGUCCGGAUUUAUUGGGCGUAAAGCGAGCGCAGGCGGUUAGAUAAGUCUGAAGUUAAAGGCUGUGGCUUAACCAUAGUAGGCUUUGGAAACUGUUUAACUUGAGUGCAAGAGGGGAGAGUGGAAUUCCAUGUGUAGCGGUGAAAUGCGUAGAUAUAUGGAGGAACACCGGUGGCGAAAGCGGCUCUCUGGCUUGUAACUGACGCUGAGGCUCGAAAGCGUGGGGAGCAAACAGGAUUAGAUACCCUGGUAGUCCACGCUGUAAACGAUGAGUGCUAGGUGUUAGACCCUUUCCGGGGUUUAGUGCCGUAGCUAACGCAAUAAGUAGACCGCCUGGGGAGUACGGCCGCAAGGUUA
rnacentral:rRNA from 1 species